UAGGGAAUCUUCGGCAAUGGACGGAAGUCUGACCGAGCAACGCCGCGUGAGUGAAGAAGGUUUUCGGAUCGUAAAGCUCUGUUGUAAGUCAAGAACGAGUGUGAGAGUGGAAAGUUCACACUGUGACGGUAGCUUACCAGAAAGGGACGGCUAACUACGUGCCAGCAGCCGCGGUAAUACGUAGGUCCCGAGCGUUGUCCGGAUUUAUUGGGCGUAAAGCGAGCGCAGGCGGUUUGAUAAGUCUGAAGUUAAAGGCUGUGGCUCAACCAUAGUUCGCUUUGGAAACUGUCAAACUUGAGUGCAGAAGGGGAGAGUGGAAUUCCAUGUGUAGCGGUGAAAUGCGUAGAUAUAUGGAGGAACACCGGUGGCGAAAGCGGCUCUCUGGUCUGUAACUGACGCUGAGGCUCGAAAGCGUGGGGAGCGAACAGGAUUAGAUACCCUGGUAGUCCACGCCGUAAACGAUGAGUGCUAGGUGUUGGAUCCUUUCCGGGAUUCAGUGCCGCAGCUAACGCANUANGCACUCCGCCUGGGGAGUACGACCGCAGGU
rnacentral:rRNA from 1 species